UACGUAUGGGGCAAGCGUUGUCCGGAUUUACUGGGUGUAAAGGGAGCGCAGGCGGCCUGGCAAGCCUGAUGUGAAAUACCGGGGCCCAACCCCGGGGCUGCAUUGGGAACUGCCAGGCUGGAGUGCCGGAGAGGCAGGCGGAAUUCCUAGUGUAGCGGUGAAAUGCGUAGAUAUUAGGAGGAACACCAGUGGCGAAGGCGGCCUGCUGGACGGUGACUGACGCUGAGGCUCGAAGGCGUGGGGAGCAAACAGG
rnacentral:rRNA from 1 species